AGAGAUAGAGUGGAGGUUAUCCGGGAGUACAGGUGGUGGCAUGGUUGUGUCCCAGCUCGUGUCGUGAGAUGUGGUUAAGUCCCGCAACGAGCGCAACCCUUGUCUUUAGUUACCAUCAUUCAGUUGGGGACUCUAGAGAGACUGCCGGUGAUAAACCGGAGGAAGGUGGGGAUGACGUCAAAUCAUCAUGCCCCUUAUGGCCUGGGCUACAAACGUAAUACAAUGGCGUAUACAAAGGGAUGCGAAAGGGCGACCUGGAGCAAAACUCACAAAGUACGUCUCAGUUCAGAUUGGAGUCUGCAACUCGACUCCAUGAAGGCGGAAUCGCUAGUAAUCGCGGAUCAGCAUGCCGCGGUGAAUACGUUCUCGGGGUUU
rnacentral:rRNA from 1 species